ensembl:lncRNA
CUUGCUUUAAAUGCUAUCAUUCUGUGAAAGGGGACACUGAAUCAUUGGACAACAACUGUGAAUAUUCAGGACCUGAAAUGCCUAUUUCGAAGAGGAUCAAGCAGAGGAUGUAGGACACCACAAAAAGGCUCAGGGGAAGUUUAUAGAAAAGAGAAGACCAAGGACAAUAGAAUUAUGUCAGUCUGUCAAGGUGAAAAGAAUACAUGGUUCUCCAGGUCAGUUGUUAAAAACUUCCCUGGCAUGUCUAAUGGCUUCCAAAAUGAAGAGCACUUGGUGGUUUCUGGCUAAAGGCCCACAAAGAAUGGUAUUUGGAGGCCAUCAGCCAAACGCAUACUGUGAGGAAUUAUCCAUGCUGAAAUAUAUUAGUGAUUUGUCCUAAUUUUCUAAAUAAAGAAAAUAUGUCACC